rnacentral:rRNA from 1 species
GAUGAACGCUGGCGGCGUGCCUAAUACAUGCAAGUCGAGCGAAUGGAUUAAGAGCUUGCUCUUAUGAAGUUAGCGGCGGACGGGUGAGUAACACGUGGGUAACCUGCCCAUAAGACUGGGAUAACUCCGGGAAACCGGGGCUAAUACCGGAUAACAUUUUGAACCGCAUGGUUCGAUAUUGAAAGGCCGCUUCGGCUGUCACUUAUGGAUGGACCCGCGUCGCAUUAGCUAGUUGGUGAGGUAACGGCUCACCAAGGCAACGAUGCGAAACCCGCCUGGGAGGGUGAUCGACCACACUGGGACUGAGAAACGGCCCAGACUCCUACGGGAGGCAGCAGUAGGGAAUCUUCCGCAAUGGACGAAAGUCUGACGGAGCAACGCCGCGUGAGUGAUGAAGGCUUUCGGGUCGUAAAACUCUGUUGUUAGAGAAGAACAAGUGCUAGUUGAAUAAGCUGGCACCUUGACGGUACCUAACCAGAAAGCCACGGCUAACUACGUGCCAGCAGCCGCGGUAA